UUAAACUGAAGAGUUUGAUCAUGGCUCAGAUUGAACGCUGGCGGCAGGCUUAACACAUGCAAGUCGAGCGGGGCGAAGGUAGCUUGCUACUGGAACCUAGCGGCGGACGGGUGAGUAAUACUUAGGAAUCUGCCUAUUAGUGGGGGACAACGUUCCGAAAGGAGCGCUAAUACCGCAUACGCCCUACGGGGGAAAGCAGGG
rnacentral:rRNA from 1 species